UACGAAGGGUGCAAGCGUUACUCGGAAUUACUGGGCGUAAAGCGUGCGUAGGCGGUUUGUUAAGUCUGCUGUGAAAGCCCCGGGCUCAACCUGGGAAUGGCAAUGGAUACUGGCAAGCUAGAGUGCGGUAGAGGGUAGUGGAAUUCCCGGUGUAGCGGUGAAAUGCGUAGAGAUCGGGAGGAACACCAGUGGCGAAGGCGGCUACCUGGACCAGCACUGACGCUGAGGCGCGAAAGCGUGGGGAGCAAACAGG
rnacentral:rRNA from 1 species